rnacentral:tRNA from 1 species
GCGGGUAUAGAUUAAUGGUAAAUUAUCAGCCUUCCAUGCUGAAGAUCUGGGUUCAAUUCCCAGUACCCGCU